CAGUAGCCGCGGUAAAACGUAGGGUGCGAGCGUUAAUCGGAAUUACUGGGCGUAAAGCGUGCGUAGGCGGUGAGUUAAGUCUGCUGUGAAAUCCCCGGGCUCAACCUGGGAAUGGCAGUGGAUACUGGCUCGCUAGAGUGUGUCAGAGGAUGGUGGAAUUCCCGGUGUAGCGGUGAAAUGCGUAGAGAUCGGGAGGAACAUCAGUGGCGAAGGCGGCCAUCUGGGACAACACUGACGCUGAGGCACGAAAGCGUGGGGAGCAAACAGGAUUAGAUACCCCCGUAGUCCCUGUCUCUUAUAC
rnacentral:rRNA from 1 species